GCUGUGUCCCUUCUGGAGGUUCAAGGGAAGAAUCAGGUCCCUGCCUUCUCCAGCUUCUAGGGGCUCCAGCAUCUAGAUUUGUGGCCUCUUUCCUCCAUCCUCAAAGCCAGCAACAGCAGGCGAAGUCCUCGCCCAUCACGCAUCACUCUCCCUUCUGCCUCCUUCAACUCUUUGUUUUAUAUUUAGGGGGAACGAGUACAGGAUUCCUUCAUAGUCAAAAAGCUCCUUAUAGAGAAGCUUGGAACUUUCAGUACAGCUUUGUCUUUUUUGCCAUUUUAAUUUUCGAUUUAAUUUAAGUGUAUUCUCUCAUUUGGCCUUCAUACUCUGUGGAGAAAUAUUUCUAUUUCAGCUUGUAUUGAUAGACUGCUUCCACACAGCCCCCACAUCACCCAACCACCCAGCAGAGAUCCUCAUUCACAUGAAACAGAUAGAGAAACUGAGGCCCAGGGAGGCUAAGAGUCCUGCCAGGAUUAUUCACCUUCCAAGGUAAGGAGCCAGUUCCAGACCCGGGUUUGUGCAGCUCCAAGCUCCCCCGUCUUUCUACGAUGGUAGAUUUAGACUACAGCAAUCUGGCAAGUGUGGUCAGACAAUGGCCAAGUUGGAUUUAGAUGAUAUUCUCUAUAAAUCUAUUCUCCUCUCCCGUGUAAGCAAGGCAAAGCACUCCAGGCCAUGGGGAGUCCCUGAAGACUCGAACUGCGGUGGCCACAUCAGGAGGUUGCAGGUUGACCAGAACUCACCGACACAGCAGGAGAACAGCUUGGAACCUGCACCCCAGCCAAGACCCAGUGCCUUGGACUGGGGGAGAAAACAUGUAGCCAUUUCUCUCUCUCUCUGCUGUCUAGAGGGGAUUCUGGCUUUUCUUGCCAGAGCCACCCCUUUCCCUCCUCUUAAAGUUGAUGGUGGUUUUUUAAGGAAAGGGAGAAGUGCAUGGUGUGAUAGGGCAGGAAGAGAAGAAAACGGAGGAGAGGAGGGGACUUUCCCAUGAGCAGGCAGAAGAAGAAAAGGCAGCUGUGGUGUGUGAUGGACAUGGAUGCAGAGGUGUCCAGUGUGGGGUCAGCCCUAGAGGAGAGACAGAGAUAGAGACAGACAAAUGAGAGAGUCCUGACCUUAAUGAUUAACAUGGAAUCUGCCUGCAAGUGCUGUUUAGGGCCAUCACCUCUUCCUGUGCUGCUAUUUUUGAGAGUGAUGCUCCUGAGCCCCAUGACCCAGUCAAGCUUGAUGUCCCCUUGAGCCAGAUUCAGUGUUGGGAGUCCAGUGUGACCUGCUGCAUUGAGAACAGGGCAGAUCUUGACCCCAAUAUAGGGGCUGGAUAUGAACAGGCAACAGCUGCAUUUCUGAGUCAGAAAGACUUGGUUAAUUGCUAACUGCUUAGGCAAGUAAUUUAAUUUUGUUGAGUCAGAUUCCUCAGCUAUAAAAUGCAGAUGACAAUACUUAUUCCUCCGGGUUGGGGGAAAAUGGAGAUUCUAAGCACGAUGUCUAUUUCUCAGAAAGCUACCAAUUUGGUGGCUUAUUUUCCUUUCUACCUUCACAAGUGGCUAUCCCGGCCACCCAAACAGACCCUGGACUCUCAAGUGGAUGGGGUCCCGUUUGCACAGGGCAUAAACUAACAGUCUGCGUUAAGUCUAUACUUACCACUUAGUGAGCAUUAUGUCCCCUCAGGGGCCUAUGUGGGCACCCAUCUCUUCUGCAGCACCUUUCCUCCCCACUGCUGGGUCUGCACACCACCCCCUUCUUGGGUAAAGCCUCUGAUCAGUGAUGACCUUGGUAUGGUGGUGAUGGUCAGUCUUGGCAUCAAAUGAGCUAGGUUAUAUCAUCAGUUAUUCAAUAAAACACUCAUCUAGGUGUCAACGUGAAA